rnacentral:sRNA from 1 species
GUGCCACGGCCGCCUGAGCUAAGAACAUAACAAACCGAAAAGGCGCAGAUAUCUGCGCCUUUUUU